rnacentral:rRNA from 1 species
GCGGAGGGAUCAUUACCGAGUUUACAACUCCCAAACCCCUGUGAACAUACCACUUGUCGCCUCGGCGGAUCAACCCGCUCCCGGUAAAACGGGACGGCCCGCCAGAGGACCCCUAAACUCUGUUUCUAUAUGUAACUUCUGAGUAAAACCAUAAACAAAUCAAAACUUUCAACAACGGGUCUCUUGGUUCUGGCAUCGAUGAAGAACGCAGCAAAAUGCGAUAAGUAAUGUGAAUUGCAGAAUUCAGUGAAUCAUCGAAUCUUUGAACGCACAUUGCGCCCGCCAGUAUUCUGGCGGGCAUGCCUGUUCGAGCGUCAUUUCAACCCUCAAGCACAGCUUGGUGUUGGGACUCGCGUUAAUUCGCGUUCCUCAAAUUGAUUGGCGGUCACGUCGAGCUUCCAUAGCGUAGUAGUAAAACCCUCGUUACUGGUAAUCGUCGCGGCCACGCCGUUAAACCCCAACUUCUGAAUGUUGACCUCGGAUCGGGUAGGAAUACCCGCUGAACUUAAGCAUAUCAAUAAGCGGAGGAA